AGACUGUUUUUAUGAUUUGGUGCUAAAAAUGAAAAUGAAUUGAAAAUGAACCAAAUUGUUCAUAAAGUAACUGAUACAUUCUGACCUCGCAGGUUUGGGUUUUAAAGCUUUGUGCAGCACUGACUGGGAGGUAGAAGAGGCCAACAGGUGGUAUCGGUUAAAAACCAGUCAUGACGUGGGGGUAUUUGUGAGUAUCAGAAGUGUACACAUCAUUUGCGAUUUUGUGCCUUGUUGCCCGAGGAGAAAAACAUUAAAGAUUAUUUUUUAAUGUUUCUUCAGAAACACUUUCUCCUGGUUUCAGGUAACGGCUGCCCAGCUGCAGCGUGAGAAUCCUCUCCAGAGUCCGUGCUUUGAUAACAGCAGGACGUCUCUCCGAUACAGGGAACCAACCAUCUUCUCUGAGAGACGGUACACAAACACAGAUGGUUUCUGAACUCCGUGCAUCAGUGUUGGCAUUGUGGCUGCAGGAGGCACCGUGAUUGGACAGGGUGGUGCUAACCAGCGAGCUCUGCUAGCAAGCUUCAUCCACAUAGGCUUUGAGGAACAGACUGCUCACCUGCUGUGCAGUACGUCCCACCCCCACAGGUCUACUGAGACACGACGUGGAUCUCCUCACCUGUCAGCAACCAUCACCUGUUUCACUUUAAGACCACAGGGAAACCUUUUGCGCGUCGGUUUCUAGUAAUCAGACUGAUUCAGCGUUCAGGGAACUUUGGGUUUCCGACUGCCUUCAGCAGUUUAACAGCCUGUGACGGUCGGAGCAGCACCAAGGUGUGGCCGACAGCUCACAGCACACCUGUUCUUCUCACUUCUGGCUCCAUAUGUAAAGUCAGACUCCACUCAGACAGCUGUGCACGUGUCACAGUUGAAAACAGUUUCCACAGGGCUCUCAGCUGUGGUCAAAGCAGUUGGUAAAAUUAGCCACAUGUAGCACAAAUUGCUAAAACACAUUUUACUAUUGUUUGAUGAAAGAACGAGCCUGUCGGGGAAAUAAUGACGACAAACUGCACGACUCUGAAGUAAGAGACUCGACUAAACUGGCUGCCUGCUGGUUACAUUCUGUAUAAAACACAGGUAUGUGUAGUUUAGCAGUUACACGUCACUAUUUGUAUCUGUUUCACGACUCUGAAUGUAAGUGAUUAAUAUGAAUUUUGGAUUUCUGUGUGCAUAGAUGGAAAGCAGAUCUCUGUUUUUCACGGAUUUAUUACAGUUAUUUGCCGUAUAACCACAAACACAUAUACACGUUAAGGUCGGGUGAUUGGAUGAAUAUAUCGAGGAUCUGCGAUAGGCUGAGCCUUUCGCUUUUACAAGAGUGAUUAUUUAUUUAUUGAUUUGUCCAUGAGUAAGUUAGCUAAUAAUGUUGGUUGAAGCUAAGAAAGGAGUCGACGUGAAAAAUAACAGCACUGUUUUAAUGGCACUCUGUUCCAGCUGUGAGCAGAAGCAGAGAUUCGUUUACUCAAACUCAUAACAGAAAGAAAGGCAGCAGCUUCUGUUCAGGAAAAUAGAGAAAUAUUUUAUUUAA